rnacentral:rRNA from 1 species
UACGUAGGGGGCAAGCGUUGUCCGGAUUUAUUGGGCGUAAAGAGCGUGUAGGCGGCCGCACAGGUCCGUUGUGAAAACUGGAGGCUUAACCUUCAGACGUCGAUGGAAACCGUGCGGCUAGAGUCCGGAAGAGGAGAAUGGAAUUCCUGGUGUAGCGGUGAAAUGCGCAGAUAUCAGGAAGAACACCCGUGGCUAAGGCAGGUCUCUGGGCAUUAACUGACGCUGAGGAGCGAAAGCAUGGGGAGCGAACAGG